rnacentral:rRNA from 1 species
GAUGAACGCUGGCGGCGUGCCUAAUACAUGCAAGUCGAGCGAACGGACGAGAAGCUUGCUUUUCUGAUGUUAGCGGCGGACGGGUGAGUAACACGUGGAUAACCUACCUAUAAGACUGGGAUAACUUCGGGAAACCGGAGCUAAUACCGGAUAAUAUUUUGAACCGCAUGGUUCAAAAGUGAAAGACGGUCUUGCUGUCACUUAUAGAUGGAUCCGCGCUGCAUUGGCUAGUUGGUAAGGUAACGGCUUACCAAGGCAACGAUGCAUAGCCGACCUGAGAGGGUGAUCGGCCAAACUGGAACUGAGACACGGUCCAGACUCCUACGGGAGGCAGCAGUAGGGAAUCUUCCGCAAUGGGCGAAAGCCUGACGGAGCAACGCCGCGUGAGUGAUGAAGGUCUUCGGAUCGUAAAACUCUGUUAUUAGGGAAGAACAUAUGUGUAAGUAACUGUGCACAUCUUGACGGUACCUAAGCAGAAAGCCACGGCUAACUACGU